rnacentral:misc_RNA from 1 species
AAGUCGUAACAAGGUUUCCGUAGGUGAACCUGCGGAAGGAUCAUUAACAUGGGGACAUGAGGGGACAAUCCGCUCUUGAGUGGAUAAUUCGCUCAUGAGGGGAGUUGCCUUGUUUUUCACGCUUGUCUUUGUUUGUCAAAAUAGAUGGAACCUUGAGAUAACUUUUAACAAUGGAUCUCUUGGCUCUU